CGGGGUGAGUAACGCGUGGGCAACCUGCCCCAUAGAGGGGGACAACAGCUGGAAACGGCUGCUAAUACCGCAUAACAAGGAGGGGAGCGCAUGUUCUUUUCUUCAAAGAUUUAUCGCUAUGGGAUGGACCCGCGUCUGAUUAGCUAGUUGGUGAGGUAACGGCUCACCAAGGCGACGAUCAGUAGCCGGCUUGAGAGAGUGAACGGCCACAUUGGGACUGAGACACGGCCCAGACUCCUACGGAAGGCAGCAG
rnacentral:rRNA from 1 species